rnacentral:tRNA from 1 species
GGUACAGUGGUGUAAGGCACUGCAUCUCAGUGCUACAGGCAUCACUACAGACCCUGGUUCGAUUCCAGGCUGUAUCA